rnacentral:rRNA from 1 species
GACGAACGCUGGCGGCGUGCUUAACACAUGCAAGUCGAACGGUGAAGCCUUUCGGGGUGGAUCAGUGGCGAACGGGUGAGUAACACGUGGGCAAUCUGCCCUGCACUCUGGGACAAGCCCUGGAAACGGGGUCUAAUACCGGAUAUGACCUGGGGAUGCAUGUUCCCGGGUGGAAAGCUCCGGCGGUGCAGGAUGAGCCCGCGGCCUAUCAGCUUGUUGGUGGGGUGAUGGCCUACCAAGGCGACGACGGGUAGCCGGCCUGAGAGGGCGACCGGCCACACUGGGACUGAGACACGGCCCAGACUCCUACGGGAGGCAGCAGUGGGGAAUAUUGCACAAUGGGCGGAAGCCUGAUGCAGCGACGCCGCGUGAGGGAUGACGGCCUUCGGGUUGUAAACCUCUUUCAGCAGGGAAGAAGCGUGAGUGACGGUACCUGCAGAAGAAGCACCGGCUAACUACGUGCCAGCCGCCGCGGUAACAC